AUUGAACGCUGGCGGCAUGCCUUACACAUGCAAGUCGAACGGCAGCACGGGAGCAAUCCUGGUGGCGAGUGGCGAACGGGUGAGUAAAGUAUCGGAACGUGCCCAGUCGUGGGGGAUAACGUAGCGAAAGUUACGCUAAUACCGCAUACGAUCUAUGGAUGAAAGCGGGGGAUCGCAAGACCUCGCGCGAUUGGAGCGGCCGAUAUCAGAUUAGGUAGUUGGUGGGGUAAAGGCUCACCAAGCCGACGAUCUGUAGCUGGUCUGAGAGGACGACCAGCCACACUGGGACUGAGCCACGGCCCGGACUCCUACGGGAGGCAGCAGGGGGGAAUUUUGGACAAUGGGCGAAAGCCUGAUCCAGCCAUGCCGCGUGCAGGAUGAGGGCCUUCGGGUUGUAAACUGCUUUUGUACGGAACGAAAAGGUUUGGCCUAAUAAGCUGAGCUCAUGACGGUACCGUAAGAAUAAACACCGGCUAACUACGUGCCAGCCGCCGCCGCAG
rnacentral:rRNA from 1 species